GAGUAAUGCCUGGGAAUUUGCCCAUUCGAGGGGGAUAACAGUUGGAAACGACUGCUAAUACCGCAUACGCCCUACGGGGGAAAGGAGGGGACCUUCGGGCCUUCCGCGAAUGGAUAAGCCCAGGUGGGAUUAGCUAGUAGGUGAGGUAAUGGCUCACCUAGGCGACGAUCCCUAGCUGUUCUGAGAGGAUGAUCAGCCACACUGGGACUGAGACACGGCCCAGACUCCUACGGGAGGCAGCAGUGGGGAAUAUUGCACAAUGGGCGAAAGCCUGAUGCAGCCAUGCCGCGUGUGUGAAGAAGGCCUUCGGGUUGUAAAGCACUUUCAGCGAGGAGGAAAGGUUACUGGCUAAUAUCCAGUAGCUGUGACGUUACUCGCAGAAGAAGCACCGGCUAACUCCGUGCCAGCAGCCGCGGUAAUACGGAGGGUGCGAGCGUUAAUCGGAAUUACUGGGCGUAAAGCGUGCGCAGGCGGUUUGUUAAGCGAGAUGUGAAAGCCCCGGGCUCAACCUGGGAACUGCAUUUUGAACUGGCAAACUAGAGUCUUGUAGAGGGGGGUAG
rnacentral:rRNA from 1 species